AUUGAACGCUGGCGGCAGGCCUAACACAUGCAAGUCGAACGAGGGUCGGAGAGGUGCGUAAUGUCUGGGAAACUGCCUGAAGGAGAGGGAUAACUACGGGAAACGGUAGCUAAAACCGCAUACCAUAAGAUGUCGCCCGAUGGGAUUAGCUAGUAGGUGGGGUAACGGCUCACCUGGGCGACGAUCCCUAGCUGGUCUCAGAGGAUGACCAGCCACACUGGAACGGAGACACGGCCCAGACGCCUACGGGAGGCAGCAGUGGGGAAUAUUGCACAAUGGGCGAAAGUCUGAUGCAGCCAUGCCGCGUGUAUGAAGAAGGCCUUCGGGUUGUAAAGCACUUUUAGCGGGGAGGCGUUACCCGCACAAGAAGCACCGGCUAACUCCGUGCCAGCAGCCGCGGUAAUUC
rnacentral:rRNA from 1 species